rnacentral:rRNA from 1 species
AACGAACGCUGGCGGCAUGCCUAACACAUGCAAGUCGAACGAGACCUUCGGGUCUAGUGGCGCACGGGUGCGUAACGCGUGGGAACCUGCCCUUAGGUUCGGAAUAACUCCCCGAAAGGGGUGCUAAUACCGGAUAAUGUCUUCGGACCAAAGAUUUAUCGCCUUUGGAUGGGCCCGCGUUGGAUUAGCUAGUUGGUAGGGUAAAAGCCUACCAAGGCGACGAUCCAUAGCUGGUCUGAGAGGAUGAUCAGCCACACUGGGACUGAGACACGGCCCAGACUCCUACGGGAGGAAGCAGGGGGGAAUAUUGGACAAGGGGCGAAAGCCUGAUCCAGCAAUGCCGCGUGAGUGAUGAAGGCCUUAGGGUUGUAAAGCUCUUUUACCCGGGAUGAUAAGGACAGUACCGGGAGAAUAAGCUCCGGCUAACUCCGU